rnacentral:rRNA from 1 species
ACAGUGGACGCGAGCAUCUGAUUCUUUGUGUGUCAAGUUUUUAAGGGCGCACGGUGGAUGCCUUGGUACCAGGAACCGAUGAAGGACGUAGUAAUCUGCGAUAAGCCUCGGGUAGUCGAUAAACAGGCUGUGAUCCGAGGAUUUCCGAAUGGGGAAACCCGGCUGGAGUCAUGUCCAGUCACCUACACCUGAACACAUAGGGUGUGUGGAGGGAACGCGGGGAAGUGAAACAUCUCAGUACCUGCAGGAAGAGAAAACAACAGUGAUUCCGUGAGUAGUGGCGAGCGAAAGCGGAUGAGGCUAAACCGAUUGCAUGUGAUAGCUGUCAGGCGUUGUGUGAUCGGGGUUGUGGGAUCGUGCGUGCACCACUGACAUGGUGCGGCGGAGUGAUAAAUACGUGUCAUAGUCGAAACGUCUUGAAUGGCGUGGCGUAGAGGGUGCGACCCCCGUAGACGAAAUGGCGUGUACUCCGUGUGCGUUUCCCGAGUAGCACGGGGCCCGUGAAAUCCUGUGUGAAUCUGUCGGGACCACCCGAUAAGCCUAAAUAUUACCUGGUGACCGAUAGCGGACUAGUACCGUGAGGGAAAGGUGAAAAGUACCCCGGGAGGGGAGUGAAAUAGUACCUGAAACCGUGUGCCUACAAUCCGUUGGAGCCUCUUUGUGGGGUGACAGCGUGCCUUUUGAAGAAUGAGCCUGCGAGUUAGUGCUUCGUGGCGAGGUUAACCCGUGUGGGGUAGCCGUAGCGAAAGCGAGUCUGAAUAGGGCGUUUGAGUCGCGGGGUCUAGACCCGAAGCGGAGUGAUCUACCCAUGGCCAGGUUGAAGCGACGGUAAGACGUCGUGGAGGACCGAACCCACUUAGGUUGAAAACUGAGGGGAUGAGCUGUGGGUAGGGGUGAAAGGCCAAUCAAACUCCGUGAUAGCUGGUUCUCCCCGAAAUGCAUUUAGGUGCAGCGUCACGUGUUUCUUGCCGGAGGUAGAGCUACUGGAUAGCUGAUGGGCCUUACCAGGUUACUGACGUUAGCCAAACUCCGAAUGCCGGUAAGUGAAGCGUGGCAGUGAGACUGCGGGGGAUAAGCUUCGUAGUCGAGAGGGAAACAGCCCAGAUCAUCAGCUAAGGUCCCUAAGCGUGUGCUAAGUGGAAAAGGAUGUGGAGUUGCAGUGACAACCAGGAGGUUGGCUUAGAAGCAGCCAUCCUUGAAAGAGUGCGUAAUAGCUCACUGGUCAAGUGAUUCCGCGCCGACAAUGUAGCGGGGCUCAAGUACACCACCGAAGCUGUGGCAACGAAAGUUGGGUAGGGGAGCGUCGUGUAGCGUGUGAAGCUGCGGAGUGAUCCAGUGGUGGAUGCUACACGAGUGAGAAUGCAGGCAUGAGUAGCGAAUGACGGGUGAGAAACCCGUCCGCCGAAUAACCAAGGGUUCCAGGGUCAAGCUAAUCUGCCCUGGGUAAGUCGGGGCCUAAGGCGAGGCCGACAGGCGUAGUCGAUGGAUAACGGGUUGAUAUUCCCGUACCGGCGAAACACCGCCAAUACUGAGGCCUUUGAUGCUAAGCGUGUGAUGCUUGUUUAUGGCCCUUCGGGGUUGUUUGCGGGUUGAGUGCGUGAUCCGAUUUGGUAGUAGGUAAGCGAUGGAGUGACGCAGGAAGGUAGCCUCCGCGUGGCGAUGGUUGUCCACGUUCAAGCAUGUGAGGUGCCGGGUAGGUAAAUCCGCCCGGUGUGUCCUGAGGUGUGAUGAUGACCCCUUUUGGGGGAAGUAGGGUGAUCCUAUGCUGCCUAGAAAAACUUCUAGCGAGGUGUGAGCCGCCCGUACCCUAAACCGACUCAGGUGGUUUGGUAGAGUAUACCGAGGCGAUCGAGUGAAUCAUGGUUAAGGAAUUCGGCAAAAUGCCCCCGUAACUUUGGGAGAAGGGGGGCCGGAGCCCUGAAGACUUUUCUGUCUAGGGGUGAUGGCCGCAGAGACCAGGGAGAAGCGACUGUUUACUAAAAACACAGGUCCGUGCGAACAUGUAAGUGGAUGUAUACGGACUGACGCCUGCCCGGUGCUGGAACGUUAAGGGGACCGGUUAGCCCUUCGGGGUGAAGCUGAGAACUUAAGCGCCAGUAAACGGCGGUGGUAACUAUAACCAUCCUAAGGUAGCGAAAUUCCUUGUCGGGUAAGUUCCGACCUGCACGAAUGGCGUAACGACUUCUCUACUGUCUCGACCAUGAGCUCGGCGAAAUUGCAAUACGAGUAAAGAUGCUCGUUUCGCGCAGAAGGACGGAAAGACCCCGGGACCUUUACUAUAGCUUGGUAUUGGUGUUCGGUGCGGCUUGUGUAGGAUAGGUGGGAGACUGUGAAGCAUGCACGCUAGUGUGUGUGGAGUCGUUGUUGAAAUACCACUCUGGUCGUAUUGGAUGUCUAACUUCGAACCAUGAUCUGGUUCAGGGACAGUGCCUGGUGGGUAGUUUAACUGGGGCGGUUGCCUCCUAAAAGGUAACGGAGGCGCCCAAAGGUUCCCUCAGCCUGGUUGGUAAUCAGGUGUUGAGUGUAAGUGCACAAGGGAGCUUGACUGUGAGACGGACGUGUCGAGCAGGGACGAAAGUCGGGACUAGUGAUCCGGCCGUGGUUAGUGGAUACGCGGUCGCUCAACGGAUAAAAGGUACCCCGGGGAUAACAGGCUGAUCUUGCCCAAGAGUCCAUAUCGACGGCAUGGUUUGGCACCUCGAUGUCGGCUCGUCGCAUCCUGGGGCUGGAGUUGGUCCCAAGGGUUGGGCUGUUCGCCCAUUAAAGCGGUACGCGAGCUGGGUUUAGAACGUCGUGAGACAGUUCGGUCCCUAUCCUCUGCGCGCGUGUGAGAUUUGAGAAGGGCUGUCCCUAGUACGAGAGGACCGGGAUGGACGAACCUCUGGUGUGUCAGUUGUCCUGCCAAGGGCAUGGCUGAUUGGCUACGUUCGGGAGCGAUAACCGCUGAAAGCAUCUAAGCGGGAAGCGUGCUUCAAGAUGAGAUCUCGAUGCCUCCUUGCGAGGUGUGAGGCUCCCACUAGACGAGUGGGUUGAUAGGCCAGGUGUGGAAGCGCAGUGAUGUGUGGAGCUGACUGGUACUAAUUGGCCGAUGGCUUGAUACACA